CCCUGCCUUGGAGUCGUGGAAUGUUUCCACCAAAUUUUAUUAGAGAAUGCCUUUUCCUGAGAAACUAAUUAAUUAAGGAAAGACCAGACAAAUAAACUGCUAUCCUUCGGAACGGACAGGACUGCAGAGAAGGGCAGCCUGAAGACUAAUGAAUUACUUAGUCUCUUCCACUCGGAGACAUGUCCUUUGAUUAGUGUCCAGGGCUGUUUGCGAGGGGACCCACAGUUUAUGGCUCUGUCCCUUUCUGAGCUUUGUAAGAGGUAAGACACAUUGGUCAGUAUUUCUCACAAACCAAGUGUAUUUCUUCCAAUUAUCACAACUAAAAUCGACACCAAGCAAUUUAGAGGAGAAACUAAUUUAACCUUCAAGCAUUUCAAGGUGCUCUUUAAACUGCUUAAUGUAGAUCUCCGUAUCACAAUGAUUGACAAAGAAUUAUCAGUGUCACCAUAGGAACCAGAAGUGCUUUAUACAGUCCUAAAAGGAUCUGACACAUUUUUCAAAAGACAGACCCCACUGUUACCACCUGCGGUUAAGAGGUUUCAGUUCUUUGGUGGCUCUUAUCUCUAGCAGUCCUUGAUCUUCAUAUUUUAAGGUGUGUUUCACUGGUGAGAGGAAGAAAACCCCUUUUCUAUUGUUCAAUAGUUUCCCUGUUUAUCUCAGCCUUACAAAUGACAGUUGAGGUGACUGCCUAUCCCAUUUGGUUUCUGGUGUGGCUCUAGUUCAAGACCCUUUGAAUACUAACAGGCUGGCUAGAAUGCUGCCAAUGAGCCCAGACACUUCGUAGGGAGCGGAAUUGAAAGCCAGAGUCCUAUUAUAAACACAAAUGCUCCCUUUAUGCUGAACUCUGGGCAGUUGGGACUUGGACAACAGUUGAAACCUUUGCCUUCAACCUUGAGAAUAAAAUCAUGAGAGUAAGAAAGCAAAGGGCCUCUAUUUCCUGGAGGCCAUGAUGUAGGAUUCCAAAAUGGAUGUUUGCUUCUCUCCCAUUCUCCCCGCCACCAAAUGUGCAGGAUCAGCUAUGCUCUCCCAUGAAUUCAAAGAAUCUUGUUACAAAAGGCAAAUAUUUUUCUUCGGGGAUUAAAAACGAUGCACAAGAAUAUACUAGUGAUAUGAAGAAUGUAACAAUAUGGGAGGAUAAAGAGUAAACUAAAUACUUCCUUCUGGAUUCUGUUUUCUGUCCAACCCCACCCCUGUCCUCAAACCUCUUCACUCUUACAUCAUACUCAGAAGCAAAUCUCUGGAAUGGCUUUGUUUUUAGUUCCAGUGGUUGAAUUUUGAAAUGGAAGGGAGAAUGGAGAAAUAGUAAAACAGACUAUUAGAAGUCUAGAUUCACAUAGAUGCUUAGUAUUCCCACUAGAACUAUUGGCCUGCCUUUGAAAGUACAAAAUCAUAAAACAACUUUGGAAAAUCAUAUUGUAUAAUAUACUGAAGUUGACCUAGCCAUUCCCUAUAAAAACUUUGGGAUUAGAAAUGAGACAAGAAUUCUUGUACUCAUCACUUCUAUUCAACUUUAUAUUAUAGUUCUAGCUAGAGAAAUAAGCUUUAAAAAAGAAAGUG
rnacentral:lncRNA from 12 species